AUUGAACGCUAGCGGCGUGCUUUACACAUGCAAGUCGAACGAGUGGCGCGCGGGUGAGUAAUAUAUAGGAACGUGCCCAGUAGCUGGGGUUAACUCGUCGAAAGAGAGGCAAAUACCGCAUAGUUUUGGAUCAGCCGAUAGGGCAUUAGCGAGUUGGUGGGGUAAAGGCUCACCAAGGCCACGAUCCGCAGCUGGUUUGAGAGGACGACCAGCCACACUGGAACUGAGACACGGCCCAGACUCCUACGGGAGGCAGCAGUGGGGAAUUUUGGACAAUGGGGGAAACCCUGAUCCAGCCAUCCCGCGUGUAUGAGAAGGCCUUCGGGUUGUAAAGUACUUUUAGCAGAGAAGCGGUAUCUGCAGAAUAAGUACCGGCUAACUACGUGCCAGCAGCCGCGGUAAUUC
rnacentral:rRNA from 1 species